rnacentral:misc_RNA from 1 species
UCCGUGUUAACCACGGCAGUCUCACAUGAAAAACAACAUGUGAUAAGGGUUGCGCUCGUUACCCCACUGAAGGGAACAGUUCACACCACGAGCUGACGACGACCGUGCAUCACCUGCCUAGCCACUAAGUCUGCCUGUUUCCAGGCGGGCAUAAGCUAGGUUUCAAGACCUGGUAAGGUUCCCCGCUUAUCAUCGAAUUAAACCACACGCUCCACCGCUUGUGCGGGCCCCCGUCUAUUCCUUUGAGUUUUAGCCUUGCGGCCGUACUACCCAGGCGGUCAACUUAACGCGUUAGCUACGACACUGAGAGGGUCGAUACUCCCAAUGCCUAGUUGACAUCGUUUACGGCGUGGACUA